rnacentral:lncRNA from 1 species
GCGGCAUCGGGAGGAGGAGCAGCAACAACAGCUGUACCGCCGGCGGCUGGCUGAGAGGGGAGACGGGCGAGCGGGUGCAGACGGUAGCACCAGCUACCUCUCACCAUGCCUGGCUUGUCCGGGGGGCACUGGCAUUCACUUCCCUAGCCCCUCGCGGGCUGCGGUGCAGUGUCUUCCCUGGUUUUCCAGCUGAGCCGAUUCAUCUGAGACCCGAAACCUCCCACCCCAAACCCAUUUCUUCCUCCCCUCUCCCUCAUACUCCGCACUCUCACUUCCCCUCCACACACUCACUCUUCCUCCCUUUCGAACAUCCACGGACAGACCUCCCUAGCGCGCGAGCGCCAGGGAGGAGAAAGCCCUAAACAGGGCGGACGGCGCUUCUCCUGAAGGAUGGGAUCCAGAGGCUCGGGCAAGUAAACUUUGGAGGCGACAGAAACCCUCGACCCUGGCAGCUGCCCAGGCGGACCCCAGGGACAUGCAGCUGAACUAAGCAGGGCUUUCUUUGGCGGCGGCGGCGGCGGCGGCGGCGGCGGCGGCGGCGGCGGCUGCUGCGGUCCCAGCCCAAACCUAGGAAGGCAAAGAAGCCCCGGGUACCGGCGACUGCAACCCCGCCUCUUCUGGCCGGUACUGUAGUAGCUUCAUUUCUUCACCUUCCCAU